rnacentral:rRNA from 1 species
UACAGAGGUCUCAAGCGUUGUUCGGAUUCAUUGGGCGUAAAGGGUGCGUAGGUGGCGCCGUAAGUCAGGUGUGAAAUUUCGGAGCUUAACUCCGAAACUGGCAUUUGAUACUGCGGUGCUUGAGGACUGGAGAGGAGACUGGAAUUUACGGUGUAGCAGUGAAAUGCGUAGAGAUCGUAAGGAAGACCAGUGGCGAGGCGG